UGAAGAAAACAGCUGAUGAAAGGGGCUCAAGCUAGCUUCAUUUCUUGCAGGUCUAGUUCUAAGUCUAGGGGCAGAAGUCUUCGAUUUGGCUGGACACCCAGCCUCCUCUGUGACCUGUCAGGAUUUUUAACUUCACAAUAACUCCUAAGCGGACUGCUGUCCACUGGCCACAACUCACUGAAACUUUCUCCAUAUUCAGCAUUUAUUAAAGACUGGAGGUUCCAAGGGAUGGUGAAAUCCUCUGCAUGGUGUAUCAAGAGAGGAAACCAGCACGAACUCUGUUAAGCCAGACAACUUACAUGGCAGCCCCGAGGAAAUCCCGAAGAAAGACACAAGUUGCCGUCAUUUUUCAAGGUGUAGGUCAAAUAUCCAGAAAUGGAAGCCAUCGCCCCAACCCAUUGCCAUUUCCACGGCACACGGUACAGAACACUGCAGAGACGAGCUCAGUCUCCAGGUCUCAGGAGGCUCCAGCCUCUUGGACGCUCAGGCACUCAGGCCUUGCGGCUCCACCUCGCACCCUGUGCACUGCUUCAUGGAGCCUUCACCACACUCCUUUUUAACUGCAACUAGUGAGUUCUACCAGCAGAGCCCAUCCAAAGAGGAGCCUGUAUCUAUUCAUUGUUGAUUCCCAGUGCCUCAUCCGGGAGUGUCACAGCAGGCACUCAAAGAGUCUGCUAAAUGUAUUCCUUGGGUUAUAAGUAGAAAACUUGGGGUGUGUCCUCAGUAGCCUUGGCUCUGGUUUAAGCCCUCUGAGGCCCCUGCCUUCCCCUUGCGUGUCCCCUCCCCUCCCCCAACCCCCACCCUCAGGGUCUUGGGAGGUUCCGACACCUAACCUCAGGCGGAUUGUUCAUGUCUUCCUUCUACUCCACCCCUUGGCGACUUCCACUACAGAAUAUCUAGUCACCUCUGUUUCUCUCUUCCUAUCAGGGACUACACUUCACAAGAAGGGCUCCUGAGAGUCUCCAGCUCCUUUCUUCCAUGAGCUUGAGUCAGAAACUUGGAAUGGCUUGUGUUGCCUGUGAAAGCAUUUCUUCCUGAGAAGGUGCUGCCUACAUAAUGUAAAAUGAAAUACAAGUAUCAACAUAAUUCCAGUU